UAACUAGUCGGACAAAUCGACCUUUGUGCUGGAAGUGUUUGGAACACGUCUCACCCUCUCACCCUUAUAGUUAUAGAUCACCCUCCACCUGUGGCACGACACUACAGAAGCGGGAAGAGCACCGGAAAUUCGGUCUUUUUGUGUCUUAUGGUUGCAGAACACCCUCUACCCCUGAUACAAAAAUACAGAAGCGGGACAUUGGAACUUUUGGUAUUUCCUUCCUUGACCAGGUAACUGUUGCAGGCUAAUUACAUUGACAGAUAGUAAUGCAAUGUAUCAAUGACUAAUUAUCGAUAAGCUACUGGAAAAUUAUGAACGUAAACAGAUAAGCAAGGUAAAUAACCACUUUCUCAAUAACGAUGACAGUGAAACAAAAAAAAGGAACUUUGUGAUUUUUUUUAAUCAAUUCCUUAUCAGUGUCUAUUUGAUGUUUGAUUUAAUAUCUUCAAAUCGCUUGGAACAACGACCUAUUGCAAAAGCAAAAAUGAAGAUUAGAUUGGCGGGUCUAGGUAUAAAAGAAAGCGCGUAGAGAAGACCCAUCAGUCAAUCGUCAUGAAGGUACCAGUGGCAUUUCUUCUGCUUAUUGUUUUCUCACUCUUAGUGACCUCUUCUUCGGCAGGUGGAAGCGAGGAUAAUAGGUGCACGAAACUUUACGUCCCACUUCCAUUCACUGUGUGUAAGCAGCAAUGCGAGAAAACGGCUCUGGUCGGGGUUUGCAAGAAGGGGCUGCAUUGUUGUCGUUCAUAAUCUGGAUUUUAAAUUAACUUGAUGUAAGAUUAAUUAUUAACUCUACAGUUCCAAGUAUGUGGAAAUCAGGUAUCCAUUAUUGUUGAUGGUACAUACUACAAUAAUAAUAGAUUAGACAUUUAAA